rnacentral:lncRNA from 13 species
UCCAGUAAUGUAAUUAACGAACCUAUCCCCAUCAGCCAUUUCAUUUUACAGUUCAGUUUACUUAGGGGAAAUCUCAAGUGGGCCACUAUUGCCUAUAGCAGGGUUUCCCAAACUCGGUCCUGGGCCCCCCUGGAGCUGAUUCAAAUAACCAACUCCUCAUCUAGCUUUGAUUUAUUUGAAUCAGCGGNNNNNNNNNNNNNNNNNNNNNNNNNNNNNNNNNNNNNNNNNNNNNNNNNNNNNNNNNNNNNNNNNNNNNNNNNNNNNNNNNNNNNNNNNNNCCAGGUUCUGAGAGGACAGUGUGGUAUUAGAACCCAGGUUCUGAGAGGACAGUGUGGUGUUAGAACCCAGGUUCUGAGAGGACAGUGUGGUAUUAGAACCCAGGUUAUGAGAGGACAGUGUGGUAUUAGAACCCAGGUUAUGAGAGGACAGUGUGGUGUUAGAACCCAGGUUCUGAGAGGACAGUGUGGUAUUAGAACCCAGGUUAUGAGAGGACAGUGCGGUAUUAGAACCCAGGUUCUGAGAGGACAGUGCGGUGUUAGAACCCAGGUGAUGAGAGGACAGUGUGGUAUUAGAACCCAAGUUAUGAGAGGACAGUGCGGUGUUAGAACCCAGGUUNNNNNNNNNNGGGGGGGGGGGGGGGGGUCAGGUCACAGGAAUGCGGGACCCUGCCCCGUGGAAUGCUCUUCUUGCUAAAAUAAGUGCACUAGAUACGGAAUAGGGUGCCAUUUUGGACAGAGCCUAAGACAUCUUCUCAACAUCACCACUUUCUAAUCACGUUUAGUCCGUCCUAUCAUUUAAGAAAACUCUUUUCUUUUCAUUUUAUAAAUAUAUAAAUAAUGUAUAGUUCACUAAAAUUAACUGUGUAAGAUAUAAUUUCUUAUGUUUAGCUAUUGUCCACUAUGAAACCACAACCUGUGUUAUCUACCAAGUGCUGCUUAAAAAGCAUUGAUUGACAGAUUUUUGUAUUUAGUUAACUAAAAUAUUGUAGAUUUGUGAUAGUAUGUUUUUAAUACAUGUUGAAAACAAACACACCUACAAGUUUAUUAAAAUUCACUAUCAGUAUUUUUGUAUUGUCUCAUUUUGUAUAAAAUAAAUAUUAGCAAAAAAAAUGUCCUGCGAAAUGUACUUAGCUCUACUACAUGUGGUUUUAAAUAAAAAGCCCAUUAUGAACACAACUGUGUGGAGUCUUGUCUUGACUGUAUGGUUUUACAGUAUAUUGAUGAUCUGUUGUGUUAGUUUCAUGUCUCAACUGGGUCUCAGGAAAAUAGGGUAACACAGUGUUGUUCAUGACAACUCCAUAACAGUGUCUAAAGAGCAUCUUUAAGUGUCAUAACACGUUUCAAAACUUGACCAGAAAGUUAUAAAAGCUUAGGUCAACUGGAACAACUUAAAAAGUAUGUUUGCCUGUCAUGACCUAUAUAUUUCUUAACAUUUUGACAUAGUGUGGUCAGAUAUUGACAACACUUAUGGAAGUGUCAUGAUUGAACAACACUUUAAGUAAGGUGUUACAGAAAGUAGUACAGUAUUCCACACACAUCUAACUUGGCACAGGAGCUGGACUCAAGGGAAGAACCUCCCAUUUUCAAAGAUAGUGUUUAUACUUUUCUUGAAGGGAAAUGUCUUAGUACAGACACCACCAUCAGUUUCACUCAGACACAGACACCCUGGCAAACAGGCUUCAAGUACUGUAAUUGUAAGUACUUAGGUCAUACGGGUGUAACUUGCACUCACACAUACACAGUGAACUCGACAGGGCUCAGAGGAGUUGACAUCACACUUUGGCAGAGCAGAGCAUGUGUGUUUGAGACGGCAGCAUAUGUGACGGAGUCAGAAACAUGCGAUUUCAUUUUCUCUGCAGUAAAGUCUGUUUUCAGCUGAGGAGAGAGUUCUCUGAAGACAACUAAACAUAAUAGAUGUGGUGUUAGAACCCAGGUUCUGAGAGGACAGUGCAGUACUAGAACCCAGGUUCUGAGAGGACAGUGCAGUAUUAGAACCCAGGUUCUGAGAGGACAGUGUGGUAUUAGAAUCCAGGUUAUGAGAAGACAGUGCGGUAUUAGAACCCAGGUUCUGAGAGGACAGUGUGGUAUUAGAACCCAGGUUCUGAGAGGACAGUGUGGUGUUAGAACCCAGGUUCUGAGAGGACAGUGUGGUAUUAGAACCCAGGUUAUGAGAGGACAGUGUGGUAUUAGAACCCAGGUUAUGAGAGGACA